GACGAACGCUGGCGGCGUGCUUAACACAUGCAAGUCGAACGGAAAGGCUCCAGCUUGCUGGUGUGCUCGAGUGGCGAACGGGUGAGUAACACGUGGGCAAUCUGCCCUGCACUCUGGGAUAAGCCUGGGAAACUGGGUCUAAUACCGGAUAGGACCUUUCUCCUCAUGGGGUUUGGUGGAAAGUUUUUCGGUGCAGGAUGAGCCCGCGGCCUAUCAGCUUGUUGGUGGGGUAAUGGCCUACCAAGGCGACGACGGGUAGCCGGCCUGAGAGGGUGAUCGGCCACAUUGGGACUGAGAUACGGCCCAGACUCCUACGGGAGGCAGCAGUGGGGAAUAUUGCACAAUGGGCGAAAGCCUGAUGCAGCGACGCCGCGUGAGGGAUGACGGCCUUCGGGUUGUAAACCUCUUUCAGUAGGGACGAAGCGCAAGUGACGGUACCUGCAGAAGAAGCACCGGCUAACUACGUG
rnacentral:rRNA from 1 species